AGCUGAUUGGCGCAGCGGAAGCGCGCGAGGCUCAUAACCUUGAGGUCAUUAGAUCGAGACUAAUAUCAGCUA
rnacentral:tRNA from 2 species